ACCACUUUCUCCAACUCCUCAUACCUCACCGUGUCGCUCUUUUCCCUUCGCAUUUUACUUUUCUGAUUCCAUUCCGAUCAUCCAUGGCGGCUUCGCGGCGGCUCCGAGAGCUGCAAUCCCAACCCGGUAACAAGAUCUGUGUCGAUUGCUCUCAGAAGAAUCCACAGUGGGCAUCAGUAUCCUACGGCAUCUUCAUGUGCCUUGAAUGCUCCGGUAAGCACCGUGGUCUCGGCGUUCACAUCUCCUUCGUCCGAUCUGUUACCAUGGACGCUUGGUCCGAUAUCCAAAUCAAAAAAAUGGAAGCCGGUGGUAACGACAAUCUCAACGCCUUCCUCGCACGCUAUUCAAUUUCAAAGGAAACCGAUAUCAUAACGAAGUAUAACACCAACGCUGCUUCCGUUUACCGUGAUAGGAUUCAGGCGAUUGCUGAAGGUCGUUCAUGGCGCGAUCCGCCUGUUGUUAAGGAGAAUGUUGCUGCCGGAAAGGGGAAGCCGCCGUUGUCGCAGAAUCGUCGGAGUAACGAUUCCGGUUGGGAUGAUUGGGAUGGAGAAGGAGGUUCUGGAAAUUCUGUUGAUGUGAGGAGUAAGUCGACGGGAGAUUUCAGAAGCUUGAAUGGGGGUGGCGCGCCGGUGAGAUCGAGAUCGACAGAGGAUAUUUAUACUCGUUCGCAGUUGGAGGCUUCUGCGGCGAAUAAGGAGGGUUUCUUCGCGAGGAAGAUGGCGGAGAAUGAGUCGCGACCGGAUGGACUUCCACCGUCGCAGGGUGGGAAGUAUGUUGGGUUUGGAUCUAGUCCCGCGCCUUCGCAGAGGAGUAAUCCUCAAAACGACUAUUUCUCUGUCGUUUCUCAGGGUAUUGGUAAGUUGUCAUUGGUUGCUGCCUCUGCUGCUAAUGUUGUUCAGGCUGGCACAAAAGAGAUCACUUCUAAGGUCAAGGAAGGUGGUUAUGAUCAAAAGGUCAACGAAACUGUCACCGUCGUCACUCAAAAGACAUCAGAGAUUGGUCAUAGGACAUGGGGUUUAAUGAAAGGGGUCAUGGCUCUGGCUUCACAGAAGGUUGAGGAGUACACUAAAGAAAACUCAAAUUGGAAGGCUGAUAGCUGGCAACGAAAUGAGAAUGAUAGAAAUGGCUACUAUCAAGAUUUCAAUCAAGAGACCAAAGGCGGUAGUUCUUCUACUGGAAGAGAACAAUCUUCAUCGGGGCAAUUCAAAACUCAUAGCUCAAACUCUUGGGAUGAUUGGGACCAAAAAGAUAGUUGGAAGGAAGAACCAACUAAAGGAUCAACUCGCUAUUCAUCUGGUGUGCAGGUUGGUACUCACAAUCCAAGCUCUUGGGAUGAUUGGGACCACAAAGAUUCUAGGAAGGAAGAACCAGCCAAAGGAUCAGCUCCCCAUAAUAACGAUGCUGGUUGGGCUGGCUGGGAUAAUGCUAAAGAUGAUGGAUUUGACAACUUUUAUGAAGGUGCAUCUAAUAAGAAAUCUGCUGGACGUAAUGGGAAAUCUGAUGAUGCUUGGACGGGGGGUGGCUUUCUCUAAGGAACUAAUGCAUGCUACUUGAAUUUGUGUCUUGUGGGGGGUGGAGUAGGGAGAGGGGGAAAUGACAAGAGGAUGGGCUGUGUGGAAGUACUCAGCAUCUUGGAAUUGGAAAUUGUUGUUUUAUCCAUCCUUAUUUCCAGUCUCAAGAUUGUUCCAUUGGUGACGCAAAAUACCGCAGAGUUCGGACUUAUGACGUGCAGACAAAGCAGUUGUGCCCCCCAAACCAUUAUGCAUGUGAAAGGACUGUCAAUUGUAACUUAUCAGUGCUUUUUUACUUUCAAACUCAGACCCUCCUAUGUGCAGGAAGAAUGAAUUUUUUUGAGGUUAGUAUAAUUUCAGCAACUUUUAUUUAGGUUGCUCUUUGUUCACUUGUAAUUUUUUUCCUAUGUAACAUUUUGGGAACUUGGAUCUGAAAGAUAGUUUUACAUUUAUAAGUGUUGAAAGAAAGGGCUAAUUGCCCAAAUCUUAAUUCUUGAGAACGGUAUUACCUGCAAUGUGUGAUGAAAAUUUCAGAAUUGUUUUGAAUUUGCUGCCAAUUAAUUCAACCGUGUGAUUUUAUUGCCUCGA